rnacentral:rRNA from 1 species
GUGAGGAAUUUUCCGCAAUGGGCGAAAGCCUGACGGAGCAAUGCCGCGUGAAGGAUGAAGGCCUAUGGGUUGUAAACUUCUUUUCUCAGAAAAGAAUUAUGACGGUAUCUGAGGAAUAAGCAUCGGCUAACUCUGUCCCAGCAGCCGCGGUAAGACAGAGGAUGCAAGCGUUAUCCGGAAUGAUUGGGCGUAAAGCGUCUGUAGGUUGUUUAAAAAGUAUUCUGUCAAAGAUUAGGGCUUAACCCUAGAUAGGCAGAAUAAACUUUUAAGCUAGAGUUUGGUAGAGGCAGAGGGAAUUCCCGGUGGAGCGGUGAAAUGCGUAGAUAUCGGGAGGAACACCAAAGGCGAAGGCACUCUGCUGGGCCAAUACUAACACUGAGAGACGAAAGCGAGGGGAGCAAAUGGGAUUAGAAACCCGUGUAGUCC